UGGGGCGUCGCCAAGUGGUAAGGCAUCGGGCUUUGAUCCCGCUAUUCGGAGGUUCGAAUCCUUCCGUCCCAG
rnacentral:tRNA from 3 species